CGGACGGGUGAGUAACGCGUGAGAAUCUGCCCUCAGGAGGGGGAUAACAGUUGGAAACGACUGCUAAUACCCCAUAUGCCGAAAGGCGAAACGAAUUUCGCCUGGGGAUGAGCUCGCGUCUGAUUAGCUUGUUGGUGGGGUAAGGGCCUACCAAGGCUUCGAUCAGUAGCUGGUCUGAGAGGACGAUCAGCCACACUGGGACUGAGACACGGCCCAGACUCCUACGGGAGGCAGCAGUGGGGAAUUUUCCGCAAUGGGCGAAAGCCUGACGGAGCAACGCCGCGUGAGGGAUGAAGGCCUUUGGGCUGUAAACCUCUUUUCUCAAGGAAGAAGAUCUGACGGCACUUGAGGAAUAAGCCACGGCUAAUUCCGUGCCAGCAGCCGCGGUAAUACGGGAGUGGCAAGCGUUAUCCGGAAUUAUUGGGCGUAAAGCGUCCGCAGGCGGCCGUCUAAGUCUGUUGUUAAAUCGUGGAGCUCAACUCCAUCACGGCAAUGGAAACUGUUCGGCUUGAGUAUGGUAGGGGCAGAGGGAAUUUCCGGUGUAGCGGUGAAAUGCGUAGAUAUCGGGAAGAACACCAGUGGCAAAAGCGCUCUGCUGGGCCAUUACUGACGCUCAUGGACGAAAGCCAGGGGAGCGAAUGGGAUUAGAUACCCCAGUAGUC
rnacentral:rRNA from 1 species